rnacentral:rRNA from 1 species
CACUAAGCGGAGGAAAAGAAACUAACGAGGAUUCCCCUAGUAACGGCGAGUGAACGGGGAAGAGCCCAUCGCCGAAGCCCCCGUCCAAGCAGGGCGGCGGGCAAUGUGGCGUUCGGGAGGAGCCAUUCCUUUGGUUCGCGGGAGCCCAAGUCCCCCUGACUGGGGCCAUCGCCCGUGGAGGGUGCUAGGCCCGUACGGCUCCCGAUUUACGGCCGGAGGAUGGCUCUUUCCCCCGAGUCGGGUUGCUUGGGAGUGCAGCCCUAAGUCGGUGGUAAACUCCACCCAAGGCUAAAUACUGCCACGAGACCGAUAGCGAACAAGUACCAUGAGGGAAAGUUGCAAAGAACUUUGAAGAGAGAGUUCAAGAGUACGUGAAACCGCUCGGAGGCAAACGGGUGGGCACUCGAAGGUCGAACCGGGGGAUUCAACCGGUCGUCAUGUCUCCGUCAGUCGCAGUUUCUAAAAAGUUAACGGAUCCGAGGGACCGGACUGCGUGCUUACGAUCGGAGGACGGCCGGCGCACUUCCCCCUCAGUAGGACGCCGCGACCGGUCGGGACUUAUAACGGUGGCCAUAAGGCAUCAGAGCGGGCAGGUAUCUGGUUAGGUCGGUUAUCUUUUUGCUCCUUGUGGGUGAGAGUUAGCUCCUGCCAGAGUUAUAGCCCGUUCGCCGCCCGGCUCCACCGCCCGACCGAGGAAAAUAAUGUAAGACCCUCGCCAGUGAUGAGCCUGACUAGCGACAGGUGGUUUCGCAUUCAUUGGACGCCCAUAAGCGGCGGCCAGCGUUUGUUCGAGCUGCUGUUGGUUGCGGGGGAUCUCACUGCCUAAGCGACUGGAGGUCUGCGGCGAGUAGGUCGGUCGCCCACCCGACCNNNNNNNNNNNNNNNNCCAAGGAGUCUAACAUGUGCGCGAGUCAUUGGGGAUCUCUCGAGACCCACAGGCGCAAUGAAAGUGAAGGUAGGGGCUUGCCCCCACCGAGGCGGGAUCUGUCCGGGGGGUAACUCCCGGCAGCGCACCGCCGGCCCGUCGCAACCGCUACGCCGGUGCGGCGGAGCAAGAGCGUACACGUUGGGACCCGAAAGAUGGUGAUCUAUGCCUGGGCAGGACGAAGCCAGAGGAAACUCUGGUGGAGGUCCGUAGCGAUUCUGACGUGCAAAUCGAUCGUCGGACCUGGGUAUAGGGGCGAAAGACUAAUCGAACCGUCUAGUAGCUGGUUCCCUCCGAAGUUUCCCUCAGGAUAGCUGGCGCUCGGAACGGAACGCAGUCUCAUCCGGUAAAGCGAAUGAUUAGAGGCCUUGGGGCCGAAACGACCUCAACCUAUUCUCAAACUUUAAAUGGGUGAGAAGUCCGGCUUGCUCGACUACUGAAGCCCGGACGUUUAAGGAUGCGAGUGCCAAGUGGGCCACUUUUGGUAAGCAGAACUGGCGCUGUGGGAUGAACCAAACGUUGGGUUAAGGCGCCGAAUGCGGACGCUCAUCAGACCCCAUGAAAGGUGUUGGUUGCUAUAGACAGCAGGACGGUGGCCAUGGAAGUCGGAA